rnacentral:snRNA from 1 species
CGCUUCUCAGCCUUUUGGCUAAGAUCAAGUGUA